CCCUUAGAUGUUCUGGGCUGCACGCGCGCUACACUGAAGCUAUCAACACGUUUUCCCUCCCUGAGAAGGGCGGGUAACCUUUUGAAUCAGCUUCGUGGUAGGGAUCGGGGCUUGCAAUUGUUCCCCGUGAACCAGGAAUUCCUAGUAGACGCGAGUCAUAAGCUCGCAUCGAUUAAGUCCCUGCCCUUUGUACACACCGCCCGUCGCUACUACCGAUUGAACGUUUUAGUGAGGCAUUUGGACCGACGCAUCUCAGUUUAACCGCUGGUUUGUGUUGGAAAGACUUCCAAACUUGAGCGCUUAGAGGAAGUAAAAGUCGUAACA
rnacentral:rRNA from 1 species